GUCCGGACCGAUUCUAUGAUCGUCGUACUGUGGGGUGCUACGUGAUUACUGGAUGAGUGGUGCAUGGCCGUUCUUAGUUCGUGGUGUUAAUUGUCUACUUAAUUGUCAUCGGUUCUCGUAUCAUGCGAGAAUUAAUAACGAACGAGAUCGAGACCCGUGGUUGCGUAUGUUUGAAUUCGGUAUUACUACGGGGAUCGCGUAACACUCCACGGUACGAUCGAAAGACUCGGCAAUAACAGGUCUGUGAUGCCCUCAGAUGUUCUAGGCUGCACACGUGCUACAGUGUGGCGUUGUAUCGUGUGUGUAUGCAGAGAACUGAUAAGAUCCCCCGCACCGAGUCAUAAUUGGUCACACGGUUGGACUCACCGAUUGUCAAUUAUUCGGUAUACUAACUAGGAAUGCCUCGUACCGGGUCGGUUCAACGAGACCCCCUGGAAUCCGUCCCUGCCCUUUGUACACACCGCCCGUCGCUCUUACCGAUGG
rnacentral:rRNA from 1 species